GCAGGGGGACAGCGGGGACACCAACGACAGCAGGGACAGAGGGACAUUGGGGACACAGGGACAUUGAGGACAGAAGGACAUUGGGGACAUUGGGGACAGAGGGACAUUUGGGACAUUGGGGACAUUGAGGACAGAAGGACAUUGGGGACACUGGGGACAGAAGGACAUUGGGGACACUGGGGUCACAGCGGGGUCCCGAGCAGUGUCCCCAUCCCCGUGUCCCAGUGAGGGCCGGGGCCACCGCGGAUCCCAAAGGGCUCCAGGACCCCAAAGGAUCCCAAAGGUCCCAGAGACCCCAAAGUGUCCCACAGACCCCCAAAAGGUCCCAGAGACCCCAAAAGAUCCCAGAGACCCCAAAGGAUCCCAGAGACUCCAAAGAUCCCACAGACCCCAAAAGAUUCCACAGACCCCAAAAGAUCCCACAGACCCCAAAGUGUCCCACAGACCCCAAAGAUCCCACAGACCCCAAAGAUCCCAAAGAUCCCACAGACCCCAAAGAUCCCACAGACCCCAAAGUGUCCCACAGACCCCAAAGGUCCCCCAGACCCCAAAAGGCUCCAGAGACCCCAAAGAUUUCCAGGGAUGGAUUUUGCAGCCCCAAAGGUCAAAGGUCAGCGGGGUUUUAUGGCUUUGGGGUUUUAUGGCUUUGGGGUUUAAUUGCUUUAGGGUUUAAUUCCUUUAGGGUUUUAUGGCUUUAGGGUUUAAUUGCUUUAGGGUUUAAUUGCUUUGGGGUUUAAUUGCUUUGGGGUUUAAUUGCUUUGGGGUUUUAUGGCUUUGGGGUUUAAUUGCUUUGGGGUUUAAUUGCUUUGGGGUUUAAUUGCUUUGGGGUUUAAUUCCUUUAGGGUUUAAUUGCUUUGGGGUUUAAUUGCUUUGGGGUUUAAUUGCUUUGGGGUUUAAUUGCUUUGGGGUUUUAUGUCUUUGGGGUUUUCUGGCCCCGGGGUUUUAUGGCCCCGGGUUUACACCCCGAUGUGUGAAAGUGCCUCCUGCCAUAAAGAUCUGGGAACUUUUAUGGGUUCGGCGCCUUCCUGGGGCAGCGAGGGCGGGGUGGGAUUGGGGCUGUGCCGGGAGCCCCCGACCCCAAAGCCACGGGACCCCUGACCCUAAAUAAAUAACCCCUGACCCCAUGGGAACCCA
rnacentral:lncRNA from 1 species